rnacentral:ribozyme from 12 species
UCUGUUGUCUUUCCUUUUUUUCUUUGUCUUUGUUUUCCUCUUUUUCAAUCACAAUAUCAUGGUGAGGAAAACAUGCAAGAAGGCUAAGAGAAUAGAGAAG